GAAGAAGAAGAAGAAGAAGAAGAAGAAGAAGAAGAAGAAGAAGAAGAAGAAGAAGAAUAUGAUGAAAAUGAUAAAAUUUUGUAAGUAAAAUUCUUGGAUUGAAGAAAUAUUAAUAGCCCAUUUGGCACUAUUUCUGAAAAGGUUUGCAACCUUUCAGAACAACCAUAACUGUUGGAACAGGUUUGACACUGUUGAUACCCAAUUUUUUCCUGUAAUUUUUAUAUGUAUAAAUUUAUUAAAAAUAACAUAUAUAUACAUAUAUAAGCAUGCACAAGAUUGUUAUAAUUUUUUCAUAAUUUUGAAAGAUUUUAAAU
rnacentral:lncRNA from 1 species